rnacentral:rRNA from 1 species
AGAGUUUGAUCAUGGCUCAGAUUGAACGCUGGCGGCAGGCCUAACACAUGCAAGUCGAACGGUAGCACAGAGAGCUUGCUCUCGGGUGACGAGUGGCGGACGGGUGAGUAAUGUCUGGGAAACUGCCUGAUGGAGGGGGAUAACUACUGGAAACGGUAGCUAAUACCGCAUAACGUCGCAAGACCAAAGAGGGGGACCUUCGGGCCUCUUGCCAUCAGAUGUGCCCAGAUGGGAUUAGCUAGUAGGUGGGGUAACGGCUCACCUAGGCGACGAUCCCUAGCUGGUCUGAGAGGAUGACCAGCCACACUGGAACUGAGACACGGUCCAGACUCCUACGGGAGGCAGCAGUGGGGAAUAUUGCACAAUGGGCGCAAGCCUGAUGCAGCCAUGCCGCGUGUAUGAAGAAGGCCUUCGGGUUGUAAAGUACUUUCAGCGGGGAGGAAGGUGUUGUGGUUAAUAACCUCAGCAAUUGACGUUACCCGCAGAAGAAGCACCGGCUAACUCCGUGCCAGCAGCCGCGGUAAUACGGAGGGUGCAAGCGUUAAUCGGAAUUACUGGGCGUAAAGCGCACGCAGGCGGUCUGUCAAGUCGGAUGUGAAAUCCCCGGGCUCAACCUGGGAACUGCAUUCGAAACUGGCAGGCUAGAGUCUUGUAGAGGGGGGUAGAAUUCCAGGUGUAGCGGUGAAAUGCGUAGAGAUCUGGAGGAAUACCGGUGGCGAAGGCGGCCCCCUGGACAAAGACUGACGCUCAGGUGCGAAAGCGUGGGGAGCAAACAGGAUUAGAUACCCUGGUAGUCCACGCCGUAAACGAUGUCGACUUGGAGGUUGUGCCCUUGAGGCGUGGCUUCCGGAGCUAACGCGUUAAGUCGACCGCCUGGGGAGUACGGCCGCAAGGUUAAAACUCAAAUGAAUUGACGGGGGCCCGCACAAGCGGUGGAGCAUGUGGUUUAAUUCGAUGCAACGCGAAGAACCUUACCUGGUCUUGACAUCCACAGAACUUUCCAGAGAUGGAUUGGUGCCUUCGGGAACUGUGAGACAGGUGCUGCAUGGCUGUCGUCAGCUCGUGUUGUGAAAUGUUGGGUUAAGUCCCGCAACGAGCGCAACCCUUAUCCUUUGUUGCCAGCGGUCCGGCCGGGAACUCAAAGGAGACUGCCAGUGAUAAACUGGAGGAAGGUGGGGAUGACGUCAAGUCAUCAUGGCCCUUACGACCAGGGCUACACACGUGCUACAAUGGCGCAUACAAAGAGAAGCGACCUCGCGAGAGCAAGCGGACCUCAUAAAGUGCGUCGUAGUCCGGAUUGGAGUCUGCAACUCGACUCCAUGAAGUCGGAAUCGCUAGUAAUCGUAGAUCAGAAUGCUACGGUGAAUACGUUCCCGGGCCUUGUACACACCGCCCGUCACACCAUGGGAGUGGGUUGCAAAAGAAGUAGGUAGCUUAACCUUCGGGAGGGCGCUUACCACUUUGUGAUUCAUGACUGGGGUGAAGUCGUAACAAGGUAACCGUAGGGGAACCUGCGGUUG